AGUCGAGCGAAGCUUUUCAGUAGUUUACUACAGAAAAUGACUGAGCGGCGAACGGGUGAGUAACGCGUGAGCAACCUACCUUAGUUACUGGGAUAGCCCGAGGAAACUCGGAUUAAUACCGGAUAUUCUUAUUUAAUCACAUGAUUUUUUAAGGAAAGGUCAGCCGAACUAAGAUGGGCUCGCGUUCUAUCAGCUAGUUGGUAGGGUAAUGGCCUACCAAGGCUACGACGGAUAGCUGGUCUGAGAGGACGAUCAGCCACACUGGGACUGAGACACGGCCCAGACUCCUACGGGAGGCUGCAGCAGGGAAUAUUGCGCAAUGAGCGAAAGCUUGACGCAGCGACACCGCGUGUGGGAUGACGGAUCUAGGUUUGUAAACCACUUUCAGGAGGGAAGAAAAUGACGGUACCUCCACAAGAAGCCCCGGCCAACUACGUGCCAGCAGCCGCGGUAAUACGUAGGGGGCGAGCGUUGUCCGGAUUUAUUGGGCGUAAAGAGCUCGUAGGCGGUUCAACAAGUCGGUCGUGAAAGUUCAGGGCUCAACCCUGAAAUGUCGAUCGAUACUGUUGUGACUAGGAUACGGUAGAGGUGAGUGGAAUUCCGAGUGUAGCGGUGAAAUGCGUAGAUAUUCGGAGGAACACCAAUUGCGAAGGCAGCUCACUGGGCCGCUAUCGACGCUGAGGAGCGAAAGCUAGGGGAGCAAACAGGAUUAGAUACCCUGGUAGUCCUAGCUGUAAACGAUGGAUACUAGACGUAGGAAUUGGUUUAACGAUUUCUGUGUCGUAGCUAACGCGUUAAGUAUCCCGCCUGGGGAGUACGGUCGCAAGACUAAAACUCAAAGGAAUUGACGGGACCCCGCACAAGCGGCGGAGCAUGCGGCUUAAUUCGAUGAUACCCGUAGAACCUUACCUGGACUUGACAUAUGGGGAAAAGUUAUAGAAAUAUAAUGUGCAUUAGCGCCCUAUACAGGUGGUGCAUGGCUG
rnacentral:rRNA from 1 species